AGUGAACGCUGGCGGUAGGCCUAACACAUGCAAGUCGAACGGCAGCACAGUAAGAGCUUGCUCUUACGGGUGGCGAGUGGCGGACGGGUGAGGAAUACAUCGGAAUCUACUUUUUCGUGGGGGAUAACGUAGGGAAACUUACGCUAAUACCGCAUACGACCUACGGGUGAAAGCAGGGGAUCUUCGGACCUUGCGCGAUUGAAUGAGCCGAUGUCGGAUUAGCUAGUUGGCGGGGUAAAGGCCCACCAAGGCGACGAUCCGUAGCUGGUCUGAGAGGAUGAUCAGCCACACUGGAACUGAGACACGGUCCAGACUCCUACGGGAGGCAGCAGUGGGGAAUAUUGGACAAUGGGCGCAAGCCUGAUCCAGCCAUACCGCGUGGGUGAAGAAGGACUUCGGGUUGUAAAGCCCUUUUGUUGGGAAAGAAAAGCAGCAGGUUAAUACCCCGCUGUUCUGACGGUACCCAAAGAAUAAGCACCGGCUAACCUCGUG
rnacentral:rRNA from 1 species